rnacentral:rRNA from 1 species
GGGAUUGCCCCAGUAACGGCGAGUGAAGCGGCAACAGCUCAAAUUUGAAAUCUGGCCCCCCCCCCCGGGGGGGCCCGAGUUGUAAUUUGCAAAGGAUGCUUUGGGCGAGGCGCCUUCCGAGUUCCCUGGAACGGGACGCCACAAAGGGUGAGAGCCCCGUCUGGUCGGACGCCGAGCCUCUGUAAAGCUCCUUCGACGAGUCGAGUAGUUUGGGAAUGCUGCUCAAAAUGGGAGGUAUAUGUCUUCUAAAGCUAAAUACCGGCCAAAAACCGAUAGCGCACAAGUAAAGUGAUCGAAAGAUGAAAAGCACCUUGAAAAGGGGGUUAAACAGUACGUGAAAUUGUUGAAAGGGAAGCGCUCGUGACCAGACUUGGGGCGGGCGGAUCACCCGGCGUUCUCGCCGGCGCACUCCGCCCGUCCCAGGCCAGCAUCAGUUCGCGCCGGGGGACAAAGGCGGCGGGAACGUGGCUCCCCAGGGAGUGUUAUAGCCCGCCGCGCCAUGCCCCGGGGGCGGACUGAGGGCCGCGCAUCACUGCAAGGAUGCUGGCGUAAUGGUCACCAGCGACCCGUCUUGAAACACGGGCCAAGGAGUCGUCCUCGUAUGCGAGUGUUCGGGUGUCAAACCCCUACGCGGAAUGAAAGUGAACGUGGGUGAGAGCUUCGGCGCAUCAUCGACCGAUCCUGAUGUUCUCGGAUGGAUUUGAGUAGGAGCAUACGGGGCCGGACCCGAAAGAAGGUGAACUAUGCCUGUGUAGGGUGAAGCCAGAGGAAACUCUGGUGGAGGCUCGCAGCGGUUCUGACGUGCAAAUCGAUCGUCAAACAUGGGCAUGGGGGCGAAAGACUAAUCGAA